CAGCCGCCACGGUAAUACGAAGGGUGCAAGCGUUAAUCGGAAUUACUGGGCGUAAAGCGUGCGUAGGCGGUUUGUUAAGUCUGCUGUGAAAUCCCCGGGCUCAACCUGGGAAUGGCAGUGGAUACUGGCAAGCUAGAGUGUGUCAGAGGAUGGUGGGAUUCCCGGUGUAGCGGCGAAAUGCGUAGAGAUCGGGAGGAACAUCAGUGGCGAAGGCGGCCAUCUGGGACAACACUGACGCUGAGGCACGAAAGCGUGGGGAGCAAACAGGAUUAGAUACCCCCGUAGUCCCUGUCUCUUAUAC
rnacentral:rRNA from 1 species